rnacentral:rRNA from 1 species
GUGGGGAAUUUUGGACAAUGGGCGCAAGCCUGAUCCAGCAAUGCCGCGUGCAGGAAGAAGGCCUUCGGGUUGUAAACUGCUUUUGUACGGAACGAAACGGUCCUGGUUAAUACCCGGGGCUAAUGACGGUACCGUAAGAAUAAGCACCGGCUAACUACGUGCCAGCAGCCGCGGUAAUACGUAGGGUGCAAGCGUUAAUCGGAAUUACUGGGCGUAAAGCGUGCGCAGGCGGUGCUGUAAGACAGGCGUGAAAUCCCCGGGCUUAACCUGGGAAUUGCGCUUGUGACUGCAGUGCUGGAGUGCGGCAGAGGGGGAUGGAAUUCCGCGUGUAGCAGUGAAAUGCGUAGAUAUGCGGAGGAACACCGAUGGCGAAGGCAAUCCCCUGGGCCUGCACUGACGCUCAUGCACGAAAGCGUGGGGAGCAAACAGGAUUAGAAACCCGUGUAGUCC